rnacentral:rRNA from 1 species
CUUAAAAUGAGAGUUUGAUCCUGGCUCAGGACGAACGCUGGCGGUAUGCCUAAUACAUGCAAGUCGAACGCUGAAGCACUCUGCUUGCAGAGUGUGGAUGAGUGGCGAACGGGUGAGUAACACGUGGGGAACCUGCCCAUAAGAGGGGGAUAACAUCCGGAAACGGGUGCUAAUACCGCAUAGGUGAUCA